GUCGUAACAAGGUAGCCGUAUCGGAAGGUGCGGCUGGAUCACCUCCUUUCUAAGGAUUUUUAUAUGACGUACGUUUUGAUACUUUGUUCAGUUUUGAGAGUUCAAUCUCUCAAUUAUAGAAAGCACACUACUUUCUUCUUAUUCAAUAAGAAGAAUUUUGGUUGCGAUUGUUCUUUGAAAACUAGAUAACAGUAAUUGCUGAGGAAAAGUGAAACUUUUCUUUAAUCAAACCAAUAAAUAACACAACAUUAUGUUGUACCAUUUAUUCGCUAAUGGUUAAGUUAGAAAGGGCGCACGGUGAAUGCCUUGGCACUAGGAGCCGAUGAAGGACGGGACUA
rnacentral:misc_RNA from 1 species